CACCUUCUCACAUAUCUCACCCUUGUUACUAAAGAGUUCCGUGAGCAGCGUGCUAGCGGCUGUAAUGACUGCGGAGGAGUAGUGCGGCAGGCGGCUCAGCACGUCCACGAUGAGCCGAAUCUGCUGCCGCUCUUUGAUGCUCAGCCACUCAGCGUUGGUAACAAGGUCAAGGUCAGCGGGCAGGUUCACGUUGCUCAGGAUCUAAGUCCCAGGAAGAAGAUGAACCUCUAGCAGAUUCACACCCAUACCAAACUGAGCCUAGCCCUGUGGACCUCUCCGUGACCACUUAACUUUUAUCUUCUCUGCUGGGAAGCGCUCAGAUCUGGGAACCGAGGAACACCACCCCCCCCCCCCCCGAUCUUCUGUUAGGUCUUCCUACUCUAUUGGCUUGAGAGUGACUGUAGCCUGUUAUGGGUUUACGUAGGGGUCACAGGGCCGGGGACUCAGUCUUGCUUAGUGUUAUGACGUGGCACAGGAGAGGGGCGCACCUUCUGACUGUUAUUCCGCAGGCCGCCUGAAUUAUUGAGGAAGAUGAUUUUGGUGGGCUGCAAAGCCUUGGCUAGAGAUGCAGUCACCUCCAGCGAGUCAAGGAGCACGGAACGGCGCGCAGCCGUUUCCCCAAUGGGGCACAGGAUGGGGAUGCUGUUGGAUUCCAGACACCACUGCAACAGAUUCACAGUUAGGCAUGCUGAGACCUACGACGUACUAUUGAACAGUCACCAUCUCAUGACAGUGACACGACGACACCGGGAUCGGCUUACCUCCAUGACGGCGAAGGGCUUGUCCACCGAAUGGUAGCAGGUCUGGAAUUGCGUGAGCCAGUGGCGUGCUUCCCCCGGGCUGGCACCACACUGGUUCAGGAAGGCCUGGAUGUCCCGCUGCACCAGUGAUCUGCCGGCGGGAGGCGCAGGGGAUUCGAGGGGCGUUGGAAGCGGUGUCCACGACGGCUCCUCGACCGCAGGAGACUGGACACGACCCUUAGCGCCCUCGGCGUCCUCUGCGUGAGCCCUGGCGGUGCUGAGCCGGCGUCCCGGGCUGGCGCUCUUUGCCCCGCGCCGCCGCGCGCUGCCACUCAGUCUCCGUGAGCCCCCAGGACCUCCCGGGCUGCGCAACCUUCUGGCCGCUGCAGCAGACCGCAGGGCUGUGGCCACCCACGCCGUCGCCAUGACGACAACCAAACCCACUCGUCCCCCCCACCCACAGGGUCAUGAACAACUGAAUCAGUAGAGGCUCGGCGUGCCUGGCUGACAGCAGCAAAUUCCAGCUCUUCCUCUAGUGCACCAGGCCCUCAGCCUCUCUCUGUGGUUUCUCCUGUGACUCUUGUCAAGAUCUCUUCCCAAAACAGCUGGAUUUUUUUUCUUAUUAUUUUUCCAUGGUUUGACUUAUUUUUCCAUUUAACUGUUAAAGUAGACUUUGUUACAUCUAUUAAUUUCCUCUACACACACACACACACACACACACACACACACACACACACACACACACACGUGCAUGCCACAGAACUUGUGCAGUCAGAAGACAACUUUGCUUGUCAGCUCUCUCUUUCCUCCAAGUGGAUCUUGCGGAUCAAACUCAGGUCCUCAGGCAUGGCAUCUUGUGUGUUUACCAGCUGAGCCGUCCUGCCCCACAUCUGACUCUAAUCUACCUGGGUCUCCAGGCAUGCUGGGUACCAAGCUGGCGUUUAAUCUACCUGAAUUAGUAGGGCUGGCCGUUUUGGACAGUGCCUGCUCGUCAUCAUCCUGCCCCAUCUCUCCUGACUGAUGUAGGAGCGGGGUGUAGGGUACC
rnacentral:lncRNA from 1 species